AUGAAGUUUAGAAGUUCUUGAUGUUCUGUUAUGUAUCAGCAAUGUUUGAACACGAUGUUCAAACAAGCCGCCAUUGAGCCAUGGAUGGCGAAUUGGCGGCGGUUGCGUACGCAUGUGAAAAUAUAUAUCAGAACAUUUAGAACUUCUUAACUUC
rnacentral:ncRNA from 1 species